rnacentral:lncRNA from 1 species
UGACGGGCACGAGGACCUUGCAAGGUAUGACAUACCAAAUAUAGUUAUCCUAUUACUUAUAAUGGGAGAGAAUUUAACAUUACAAAUAAUCUUAACCUUUUUUUCAAAAAGUCACUGAACCAUGAAAAUGAGGUCAAGGACAUUGGACAUGUGACUGACGGAAACUUCGUAACAUGAGGCAUCCAUAUACCAAGGAUGAAGCAUCCAGGUCUUUAACCUUUUAAAAUAUAAAGCUUUUAAGUAGUUAACUAACGCCGUCACU